AGUAUUUGGUCACGGUCCAGUUAAGUACCAUGGAAUGGCUGUUUGAUGUGUUAUAUUUCCAGUUUUGCCCUUGUUAUAAGUUGCCCGUGUUAUAGAAGAUGAUCUACUGGCUUUUCAGCACAUCUAUGUUCUCUUAUCAAUGGACUCCUUAAUUUGAGGUACAGUUUUAUGUAGAUGGUAAUAUUCUAUUUCUGCUUCAGAAUCUCUUCUUGUGUUAUAAAGAGUGUGUUUUACUGUGUCAGUUAGGAGAGUGAUAUCCUGAAUUUGCAUAGGGAAGCUGGUGAUAGAAUUUUAUUAUUUUAGCUGUG
rnacentral:lncRNA from 1 species